rnacentral:rRNA from 1 species
AGCGAACGCUGGCGGCAGGCUUAACACAUGCAAGUCGAACGGGCAUAGCAAUAUGUCAGUGGCAGACGGGUGAGUAACGCGUGGGAACAUACCUCUUGGUCCGGAACAACACAGGGAAACUUGUGCUAAUACCGGAUAAGCCCUUACGGGAAAGGAUUUAUCGCCGAGAGAUUGGCCCGCCGUCUGAUUAGUCUAGUUGGUAGGGUAAGUGGCCUACCAAGGCGACGAUCAGAGCUGGUCUGAGAGGAUGAUCAGCCACAUU